rnacentral:rRNA from 1 species
UUAGGAAUAUUCGUCAACGGGGGAAACCCUGAACGAGCAAUGCCGCGUGAAGGAUGACGGUCCUAUGGAUUGUAAACUUCUGUUGUUAGGGAAGAACGACCUAUGUAGGAAAUGACAUAGGAGUGACGGUACCUUUCAAGAAAGCUCCGGCUAACUACGUGCCAGCAGCCGCGGUAAUACGUAGGUG